AGAUUGAACGCUGGCGGCAUGCCUUACACAUGCAAGUCGAACGGCAGCACGGGAGCAAUCCUGGUGGCGAGUGGCGAACGGGUGAGUAAUAUAUCGGAACGUGCCCAGUCGUGGGGGAUAACGCAGCGAAAGCUGUGCUAAUACCGCAUACGAUCUAUGGAUGAAAGCGGGGGAUCGCAAGACCUCGCGCGAUUGGAGCGGCCGAUAUCAGAUUAGGUAGUUGGUGGGGUAAAGGCCUACCAAGCCUGCGAUCUGUAGCUGGUCUGAGAGGACGACCAGCCACACUGGAACUGAGACACGGCCCAGACUCUACGGGAGCAGCAGGUAGGAAUAUUGGACAAGUGGCGCAAGCCUGAUCCAGCAAUGCCGCGUGAGUGAUGAAGGCUUAGGUGUAAGCUCUUUACCGAGAUGAAUA
rnacentral:rRNA from 1 species